rnacentral:rRNA from 1 species
AAUCAACGCUGGCGGCGUGCCUCAGACAUGCAAGUCGAACGAUUAAAGCUCUCUUCGGAGAGUGCAUAGAGUGGCGCACGGGUGAGUAACACGUAAGUAAUCUACCCUCGAGUGGGGAAUAACGUCCGGAAACGGACGCUAAUACCGCAUAAUGCAGCGGCACCGCAAGGUGACAGUUGUUAAAGGAGAAAUUCGCUUGAGGAGGAGCUUGCGGCAGAUAGCUUGUUGGUAAGGUAACGGCUUACCAAGGCUACGAUCUGUAACCGGUCUUAGAGGACGGUCGGUCACACUGACACUGAAUAACGGGUCAGACUCCUACGGGAGGCAGCAGUCGGGAAUUUUGGGUCGAAUGGGCGAAAGCCUGACCCAGCAACGCCGCGUGAAGGAUGAAGUAUUUCGGUAU